rnacentral:rRNA from 8 species
CUUAACCUUCGGGAGGGCGCUUACCACUUUGUGAUUCAUGACUGGGGUGAAGUCGUAACAAGGUAACCGUAGGGGAACCUGCGGUUGGAUCACCUCCUUACCUUAAAGAA